rnacentral:rRNA from 1 species
GAUGAACGCUGGCGGCGUGCCUAAUACAUGCAAGUCGAACGGGGAGUAGCAAUACUCUUAGUGGCGAACGGGUGAGUAACGCGUUGGUACCUGCCCCGAAGCGGGGGAUAACGGACCGAAAGGUCCGCUAAUACCCCAUGUGCUCGGUAACGAGUAAAGGUGAAAACCACUUUGGGAGGGGCCUGCGUCCCAUCAGCUAGUUGGUAAGGUAACAGCUUACCAAGGCGAUGACGGGUAGGGGACCUGAGAGGGUGGCCCCCCACAAUGGAACUGAAACACGGUCCAUACACCUACGGGUGGCAGCAGUAGGGAAUAUUGGUAAUGGGCGCAAGCCUGAACCAGCAACGCCGCGUGUGCGAUGACGGCCUUCGGGUUGUAAAGCACUUUUGACUGGGACGAGGAAGGACGGUACCGGUCGAAUCAGCCUCGGCUAACUACGUG